CUUUCUGAAAGAAUCUUUUCCCACAAACUGAGCAGGGAAAAUGUUUUUCUCCGGUGUGAGUUGUUGUGUGCCUUAUUAAAUCUUUAUUGAUAUAAAAUGUUUUACCACAAAUUGAACAGGCAAAAGGUUUUUCUCCAGUGUGCGUUACCGUGUGCCGUGUUAAAUCUGCUUUCUGAACAAAUCUUUCCCCACAAACUGGGCAGGCAAAGCGUUUCUCCCCAGUGUGUCUUCUUGAAUGCCUUGUUAAAUCCUGUUUAUAUGUAAAUGUUUUACCACACACUGAGCAGAUAAAAGGUUUUUCACCGGUGUGAGUAAUUUUGUGUUUGCUUAAAUUUCCCUUUUCAGAGAAUCUUUGACCACAAACUGAGCAGGCAAAAGGUUUCUCCCCCGUGUGUGUUCUGGUGUGGCUUGUUAAA